rnacentral:rRNA from 1 species
GAUGAACGCUGGCGGCGUGCCUAAUACAUGCAAGUCGAGCGAACAGACGAGGAGCUUGCUCCUCUGACGUUAGCGGCGGACGGGUGAGUAACACGUGGAUAACCUACCUAUAAGACUGGGAUAACUUCGGGAAACCGGAGCUAAUACCGGAUAAUAUAUUGAACCGCAUGGUUCAAUAGUGAAAGACGGUUUUGCUGUCACUUAUAGAUGGAUCCGCGCCGCAUUAGCUAGUUGGUAAGGUAACGGCUUACCAAGGCAACGAUGCGUAGCCGACCUGAGAGGGUGAUCGGCCACACUGGAACUGAGCCACGGUCCAGACUCCUAAGGGAGGCAGCAGUAGGGAAUCUUCCGCAAUGGGCGAAAGCCUGACGGAGCAACGCCGCGUGAGUGAUGAAGGUCUUCGGAUCGUAAAACUCUGUUAUUAGGGAAGAACAAAUGUGUAAGUAACUAUGCACGUCUUGACGGUACCUAAUCAGAAAGCCACGGCUAACUACGUG